AAUCUCAAUGACGAUUGGUAUAUAAAUUAAAUUAGUGGACUGACUUCCAUUGAUGAUUACAACCAUUCUGAGAGAUU